GAUGGGCAUGGUGGUGCACACCUGUAAUCCCAGCUGCUGCUCAGGAGGCUGAGGCAGGAGGAUCACAAUUAGAGGUGAGUCUCAGCAACUUAGUGAGACCCUGCCUCCA
rnacentral:sRNA from 1 species